rnacentral:misc_RNA from 1 species
GGUUUAAUUUAUAUCCCGUGAAAUAUCCUCAUCGAACACACCCUCAGGCUCCAUUGUUCUCUUUCAUCACAGUGUAGAAGUGAACACAACAGGAGUGGCACGCAAUAUCAAAGUCACGUGGAAGAGAGCUGGUGAAGGUGGACCAUAAGCAGAUCUCGCCAUGUACAUCAACCCUGAGAGGAUUGAACACGUAGUGUCUCUGGGCAUCGCGUGCAUGGUGGCCGCCCACGUCCUAAGGCUCUGUGGCAUCCCGUGGACCUACGCUUUCUACGUUCUCUGGAGUCUUACGGUCCUGAUUUACUGGAGGAACGCGCGAGCUAAGGUUUCCACUGUGGGAAAGGCCGUACUGGUGACUGGCUGUGACUCUGGGAUUGGCCUCUCGCUUGCCUUACGCCUCGACCAGCUGGGUUUUCGAGUGUUCGCCUGUUGCGCCCACGUCGACGAGCGGAGUGCGAGCGCGCAAGCUCUCCGGCGAAAUGGAUCUCAACGUUUCCACGUGUUGCAGCUCAACUUCAAUGAUGACUUGCAGAUUUUCGAGGUUUUCGCGAGGGUCACCCAAUUAUUGGCUCGCGACGAGAAGCUGUGGGCGCUUGUCAACUGCGAGGGCAUCUGCUGGACACACGACGCAGGGCAAUGCCUCAACAUCAAUAUAUACAAGAGAAUGUGUGAUUACAUUAUCUUCCGUACUUGCGCCACAGUUAGGAUGUUCCUUCCGUUGCUGAUGCACGCUAGAGGUCGAAUCUUAACAAUUGGCCGCACAUGUGAGCGCACUACAUGCCACGAAACUCAACAUUAUUUGAUCUCUAAAGCUAUUUUUGACGCGUAUGAUAAGCUUCUAAGACAACAGUUGAAACAUCGUGGCGUAAAGGUUUGCCGAAUUGAGCUGCUUUCUCCCAACACAAGUGAUAGAUAGAUAUUGUUGGAUGGCUGUAUUAUUCUUCAUGAACAGAGCCCCAGCUUGACCCCUCGGCGCCAACCCGGGGCAAAGCCAACGCAAAUUCAAGGUAUAUUUUUGCCGACGUAGUUCGCAAUAGAGGGGAGAGUGACGUCAGCGAAGCGGUGGAAGCUCAUGUUAAAGCUCUGACAGAUGCCUUUCCC